UGUCUCUGCUGUCACCUUUGCCUUUCAUACUGUCUGAAAUCAAGUUUCUGGCUGGUCAUAGGACAGCAGAAGAGAGGUGGCCUUGGAUGCAGGUACUUUAAUAAUGUUUGACUGGUAGGUUUGCAAAACUCUUGGAUAUUUCCGGAUGUUUAACUUGACUUGACUUUUUUCAAGGGUGAGCAGAAGGUGUAAUGAAUCAUGCUGAAUAGGAGACAUCCUGAUUUUGGACAAUAUGUAUAGCAGAUGUCUCAGAUGCCUUACCUGAAUGAACCUAAUGUGAAAAAUUAGUCUUAAAGGUGCUACAAAACCUAUUUACAUGUUUCCCAUAGCCUUCUGGAUGAGGGGAAACCAACUCAGGCUGAAUCCAGGAUAAGCAUUGCAACUCCUGACAAGACUGGACAGUGGAAAUCAUAAAGCAAUUGUCAGUGUUUUAGAAGAAAAAACUACAACUUAUUUGCAGAAAAUUUACAUCCAGUAAAGCAAGACAUCCACAGGAGAAGAAUAUGGUGAUGAUAAAAUAUGAAUAGAGCCCUUUCCUGUUGUUUCUGCCAUCCUGAUUUGUGAAGAUACAUUCUAAAUGGAAUGAAGAAACACAGAAAAUACAGAAAAACCUCAUGCAAGCACACUACCUCUCAUAAAGAGGAAAGCCUAGUAGUUUAUGAAGGAAAGCAUGUGAUCUUGCCCUCUUCUCUCCUUGAAUAUUCAUGAAUAAAACCGAGGAGUUACCCUCUCUGACUGGAUGGAUAUCUUUUAAGCAAAGUAGCCCUCUCAAGAUCAUGUUCUGUGUAUUUAGAGAGCUACUGUAGUGCAGUGGUUUGAGAAUUGAACUGGGACUCCAGGGGAGCAGCACUCAAACCUCCAUUUCAAUAUUGUGGUUUUAGGCAAGUUACUUUCUCUCAGCCUUUGAGGAAGAAAGCUUUUUCUUUUUAACAAAUCUUCCUAAGAAAACAGAGAAUAACCAAUGUUCUGUGAACAACCCCCAAAUGUCACAUAAUAUGCACAAACAAAAAUAUGUAUUAUAGGAUAGUAUAGUGAAGCUGAUGGAGUUUUAUACCAAGUCAACUGAGGGCUGCUUCUACAAUUCAUUGAUUUUGUUUUGCUAUUAUGUAAUGAUGGCGGGGUGUAAGGGGAUAGCCUAAUGCAUAAUUGUUUGUAUUUUGUUUUGUAUUAUAUUGAUCCUGUUUUUUAAUCUGCCUUGAUUCCUUCAGGAAAAGGCGAAAUAUAAAUAAAUUAUAUAUAUUAUUAUAUUGACACACAGGGUUUUUUUUAUCAACACUUGGGUUAGGCUGCAAUCCUUCACACACUCACAUAGAAUAAGUAGGUUCCAUUGAACACAAUGGGACUUACCUCUGUGUAUAUACAGUACAUUUAUAUAGAAUUGUCACUGAAUUUAAAUGUAAUGUUCAGUUUGUUUUCUCUCACACCUUUAUUUUCACAUUACACAUUCUGUUUACAGCUUGCUGAUUUGGAGUCAGCUAUCUAGCAUGAGCAAGUGUGGAAAAAUCUAGCCACAGCAGAUAUGAAUGCCCUUUUUAAUGAUGACAGAUGGCUGCAGAGGUCAGAAGCAGAUUUCUCAGCCUUCCUGGGCUCUAGAAAAUUUCUCUGAUUGCUAAGUUUUGCAUCAAUAAGUAUGGGACUCUGACUGUAACCCUUGUAGAACAUAAAAUCUCACUGAAAUCAAUUAGCUUAAUAACAUUGCUCAGUUUGGCCUUUAAAAUUCAGUUCAAACCACAACCUUUGUAAUCUGGCUGCAUACCCUUCCUAUCUUGACUUCUCUGCCUGUACUGCUGCAAAUUAAGGGUAUGCCGAAAUGGUUCCCUAUGUAAGAUUAGAUUGUGAACAACAGGAUUAUUAAAAUAACAACUUCCAAUUUUUAGCUGGUUUCUCAAUUUAAGAAGCCUCUUCAAAUGUUGCCUAUGGAUGCUAAUGAAAUGUACAUCUCUAGUGUACUGUUAAACUAGGGCAUAUUAGUUUAAUAGCUGUGCCUUCCUGGGGACUGAAAAGCCCACAAUGAAUGUUUUCUUUGUGUGUAAAUUAUGUGUUUUUAAAGAUAUGGAAAUAGAAGUCCCCCCUCAUUUCUGCAAGUUAUCUACCAAGAUAUUUCUUUCACAGCUUUGCCUGUAUUCAGCCUACAUUCACAAAUGAAACACUAGAUAAUAAUUACAAAUAGCUGGAUAAUUUCAGUUUAUUCCUUGAAAGAUGCCCUUGGCCCUGGUACCAUGCUUCAGUUUUCAUUACUCCUCAAUGACGUUUCUCAAAGUAUAUAGGGGGAAGGCUCCAAAGGGCACUGUAAAAUGGUGUGAAUACCACUUGCUUGAGAUUAAAUUGGACGGGAAUGUGAUAUUUUGAGUAGUCUGUUUUUAUUUAGAUUUUAAGACCCCUUCAGAUUAACAAGCGAAUGAUAUGUGUAUGUUACAAUAUGUGCCUUACUACUUGCUUACAUCCAGAUACCAGGCAUAUUGAUUGACUCCCCCAAUGCAUUGAUUAACUUGGCCAGAAAGAAGAGAACAUCUCAUAAUGCCUUCUUGAGUUCUAAAAUAAUUAUAAUUAUCAUCAGGAGCAACUAGUUCAUUUUAUUCUGAAGAAGUGUUAUGUUGAAACAAAGUGAAACAUUGCACAAGCAAAAUGUUACACCAGUGCCAGUCUAGACCUUGUUUCUGCCCAUUUCCCCCCUGCCUUGAAAGCAACAUCGUUAGUUUUUAGAAAAAGAACAUGAAUACUGCUGCUUGAUUUGCUAUUCUUUUCUUCCUUGAUUAGCCUUAAACCUUCAGAGUUUCAUGACCUUAAUAAAGCUUUUUUUCCUCCUUUUCUUUUUUGACAAGUUAAAAACAGUCUUAACAAGCAAAGCUCAUCUGGGCUGAAACUAAAGCCAGGUUAAGUUGGUGUUUUAAGAGCUCAUUAAAGUCCACAGCAUGAAGCACAAGUUGUGUGUGUGUGUGUGUGUGUGUUUGCGUAUAUGUACUUGAGACGAAGUGGUGCACCACAAAACAUCCCAUCUUUACAUUUAACCCAAUAGAUGCCCUGGGAAUCUAAUCAAAGUUAGGGUUAAUUGAGAGUUGGCAGAAGGGGGGGGAUCCAAAACCCUUCACUAAAAGGGAAAUUAACACAAGGCCCAAAACAUAAAAGCUAAUAUAAAUCUCAGUAUUGAUUUGGCAUAAUAAUUGCACUGUAUUCUUACAGAGCAGAUGAGAAUUACUGUGAACACCUUGCCCUCUGAAGUUUGUGUCACCUGCAAAGAAAUCACUCUGAAGUAUGUUGUGAAGGAAAAGUUGUUUUCUGUUUUCUGUUGUUUCUGUUUUCAGUUUGUUGUUUUUUUUAAUUCUGUGCAGCCCUUGCUUUCAGUUAAUGCUGACUCAUGCAGGCUCUGUGAAAUACGGACUGCUUUGGACGAGUAAAUGGAGUGGGGGGAAGCAAUGGAGGAAAGACCCUUGGAGUAAAUGUUACCACUGGUUUGGCAAAAUGCUAGGAGAGGCAGACAAAAUGUGGUCAGGCAGUCUCCCAUUUGGACAAUGUUCAUUACAUUCAUUAGCACUUUUUCUGUUACUAGACUUUUCAACUAAACAGACAACAGAGAGUGGUGCAUUUUUUCCCCUUGUUUCUUUUUCUUUUCCAUGGGGCUGCUGACGGGACAUAAUCCACUGUUUUUUAUUACAUUGCCUCUGGAUGCAGUAUAGUUCAAACCAAGAGAUAAUUCAGAGGCUUGAAGCUUCCUCCCUGCAGGGCUAGAGUGGGGGUCUUGGCUGCUUUCUCAUAAACUUGAAGGCUGUUGAAAGUAAACAAAUGAUUAGUUCAUGUUGGAAGCAUCUUAUUGCCUGACCAAAGAUAGAAACAGUGACAGGGUAAAAUUUGAUCUCAGGUUGUGAUGAAUAUCCUUGAUAAGCAGUUGCUCAGUACAUUUUAAUUAACUAUAUUUCACUAAAAUUGCUUUGUGUGUUUUUU